GGGGAAUUCAGUCUUGCUGAAACCGAGCUGGCUGAAAAUCUGCCGUGCAGCACCUAGGCUCCCUCUGGAGGGAGCGGAGCAGCACAAGCGCCUCCAGAUGGCGUCUGAUCCCGGCUCACCUGGCCGAGGAGGGAGAGCGAUUCCUAUUUCACGGGAAAUAUGCGUAAUGGAUCCACUGAGUCAAGAGAAAGGUCCAUUGCACUUAGUCAUAGCAUUUCCAGAAGAAAUAAAUACAGAUGUCAAGGGAAUGAAUACAAGAAACAGUGCAUAAGAUCUUGCAAAGGAACUCAGAAAUGUAGGGAUUUCCUGGAAAAAGAAAU
ensembl:lncRNA